rnacentral:rRNA from 1 species
GAGUUUGAUUAUGGCUCAGAUUGAACGCUGGCGGCAGGCUUAACACAUGCAAGUCGAACGAUGAUUACUAGCUUGCUAGUAUGAUUAGUGGCGAACGGGUGAGUAAUGCUUAGGAAUCUGCCUAUUAGUGGGGGACAACAUUCCGAAAGGAAUGCUAAUACCGCAUACGUCCUACGGGAGAAAGCAGGGGAUCGCAAGACCUUGCGCUAAUAGAUGAGCCUAAGUCGGAUUAGCUAGUUGGUGGGGUAAAGGCCUACCAAGGCGACGAUCUGUAGCUGGUCUGAGAGGAUGAUCAGCCACACUGGGACUGAGACACGGCCCAGACUCCUACGGGAAGCAGCAGUGGGGAAUAUUGGACAAUGGGCGAAAGCCUGAUCCAGCCAUGCCGCGUGUGUGAAGAAGGCCUUUUGGUUGUAAAGCACUUUAAGUGGGGAGGAAAAGCUAAUAAUUAAUACCU